GACGAACGCUGGCGGCGUGCUUAACACAUGCAAGUCGAACGGAAAGGCCCUGCUUUUGUGGGGUGCUCGAGUGGCGAACGGGUGAGUAACACGUGAGUAACCUGCCCUUGACUUUGGGAUAACUUCAGGAAACUGGGGCUAAUACCGGAUAGGAGCUCCUGCUGCAUGGUGGGGGUUGGAAAGUUUCGGCGGUUGGGGAUGGACUCGCGGCUUAUCAGCUUGUUGGUGGGGUAGUGGCUUACCAAGGCUUUGACGGGUAGCCGGCCUGAGAGGGUGACCGGCACCAUUGGGACUGGGUUCCGGCCCGGCCUCCUCCGGGAGCCAGAGGGGGGGAUUAUUCACCAUUGGGCGGAAGCCUGUUGAAGAACCGCCGCGUGCGGGAUGACGGCCUUCGGGUGGUAACCCGCUUUGGCCUGUGCCGAAGCGUGAGUGACGGUAAUGGGUAAGAAAGCACCGGCUACCUACGUG
rnacentral:rRNA from 1 species